GCAAGCUAUAGAAAUAAGUUUUUAAUAUAAUAAAAGUGUAGAGCAACAACCAAGGGUGUAAGGUAAAGGCUGAAUAUUGUAGAUUUAUUACAAUAUGUUGCAUGUUUGAAUUAAAAUACCUGUGGAUAUGCAACUUCCCACUCAUGAAAGUUUUAUGUUCUACAAAGGAGCACACUCUACAAAGGCCUGACUGGAGAUUUGCCUGAUCUAUCCGUCCUUCAGGUGAGAGCGGCUCACUUAUAGAACAGGUGAAGCAAGUUGGGACAACGUUGAAGACGUUUGCUCGCACUGGGCAAUCAGUAGGUGCAGAUCAGACCCUAAUGCUGCAACGUCUUGGAGAGUUUGGCAAUGUUGUGCGUAGCAUGGACAACAAAAUGGACACUAUGCUGCAACAUUUCAGUGCCAAUGUGUCUGUUGGAGAGUUAUCCCUGCCAGGGGAUCUGUUACUCCCCCUAGACACCCAGGAAGAUUUGGCGUUGCUUGACAACAGUUUGAGGCAGGAUAAAGAGCUCCAGCAACG